UCAGGUGUCCUGGUGCAGGCUUUCAGGGAAGGGAGAGCCCCUAACCUCGCCCCACCUCCCGAAACUUCUCCCCCUGCCGUUGGGCUAUGGUAAAGGGGAAAGGACAGGACGCAGGACCUUGAGGGAGGCAUUGAGUCAGAGGGCAGAGAGGGGCCAAGGAGACCCAGGCGGGAGGCGCGGAAGCAUACAGUCUGCGGGCACAAGGACUGAACGGGGUAGUGGGAGCCAGGUCCCUGGUUCCCUUCACGCCCCCACCCCCAGCCUCAGCUCUGUCUGGGUGGAACGAAUGUCUGCUAAUGAACUAAACAAACAGGUCUCUUAAUCUUAUCAUGGAGCUGACCCAGAGACUGGCACAGAUAUCCAAAGUAUCAUAAUUGGCAGGUCAGAAUUAAAACUACAUACAUCAUGGUGACUUUAUAGCUGAGGCAAAGUGGAGCUCAAGUGUUACUUUCCCAGUAAGCAAAUCAUAAUGAAGUAUCAUGCUGGUGACUAAUUUAACUAACAUUGUCCAGGAAAUUGCUGUUGUCCAGGAAGAGAAGAGUUGAGCUGAGUGUCAACUACUGGGCUUCUGGCACCAUCCUGCACAAGAAAUUGAUAAGUUCUACUGUGUUAUUUCCUAGCUUGGUGGUCUCAGUUGCAUCCCAGCUAACUUAUAGCCUAAAUUGACAGGCCCACCUCCAAUUUAUUAAUUCCUUGGUCUUAACUUCAAAAUAUAUCAUCUCAUGUUUACUCAAUUAUUUAUUGAACAAUCACUAUGUGUCAGUGUUGGAAUAUAUGAAGGAAAAAUCAAACAAAAAUUUUUUACCUUGUAGAGCUUACAUUCUGGAGGAGAAGACAAGUUAGAAAAGAGUACAUAAGUAAAUUAUAAUGUCUAUUAGAAGGUAAUCAGUGCAAUAGAGAAAAAUAAAGCAGAGUGGGCUGGGUGGUGCACAAGUUUAAAUACAAGAGUGCUCAGUAAAAAUCUCACUGAGAAUGCUAAGCCUGAAUGAAUGAUUAAAGGAGGUGAGGGAGCAGGCAAGCCAUGCAAAUAUCUGGGAAGAUGGUCCCAGGAAGUGGGAAAAGCAGGUGUAAGUGGCCCUUAAAUAUGAUUGCACCUGGCAAGGUCUAGGAACAUUAAUGAAGCCUUGAGAACAGGACACAGUGAAGGGAGAGGGUCAAUGAGGGUAGGCUUAGAAGACAGAUCACUGGGUGGGGCCAAUUAAAGGACUUGGAAUUUUACUCCAAAUGACAGCGGAGGACACAAGACACAGAGGGAGUGACAUGAUCAUCUGACUUUUGUUUAAUAGAUCACUCUGGCUCCCAUGUUGAGAAUUAAUUAUAGGAGCAGAGAAGGAAGCAGGGAGAUCUGUUAUUAGGCUAUUGCAAGAAUCUAGGUAAGAGAUGAUGGCUUGGACUGGGUGAUAGCAAGAAAGAUAAUGAGAAUUGGUGGUGAUUUUGAAUUGCUUUGAAUGUAGAGCCAACAAUGAGUGGCUCGAAAGAAAAGAGGGAGUAAAGAGUAACUCCAAGCAUUUGGCCCUAGCAACCGGAAGGAUGAAGUUGCUAUUAAUUGAAAUGAGAAAGACUAUGGGUGGAGCAAAUUUUGGUGGAAGAAUCAGCUUAUAUGGGUUAAGACUGGAAUGCCUAUUAAGUUAAAUUUUAAAAAUAACUUACGUAAAGCUCUUAGAAUAGUUCCUGACUUUACGUAAGUGCCAUACAAAUGUUUGUGGUGGUGAUUAUUAUUGUUAUUAAUGUUUGCCAACCAAAAUGAGAUGUUGAAUAGACAAUUGUACCAUGAUUGUGGUGGUAGUUGCAAAACUAUAUUUUGUUAUAAUCCAAUUGUACACUCAAAAACUGGUGAAUUUUAUUGUACGUAAACUAAACCUUAAAAAAAUUAUUAAAAAACAAAGAACUUACUCUCAUGUUUUAAAAGGGAGAAUAUGGAACUUUCCCAUCUGAGAAGAAGCAGCUUCGGAAGUAUCACCAUUUUGUAUACCCAUUGAAAUAACUGAUGUAAAUAAAGAUCACCAAUAGAUGCUAAAGCCAUUAAGUAAAGGUUUGAUGGAAAAUAGUGAGGUAGGUGAAUAGGGUCUGGAGGCAGAGAACCUAAGGCCGAUUCACGUUGACUUCCUAAAGCUAAAUCAAAAGGAAAACCCCAACUUUCCACACUUAAGUAACAAAAGUACUGGAGGCUGCUCCCUUUACAAACCACCCUCUCCUUUCUGCGUGGCAGAUGGAAAAUCGAAAGUAUCUUUGAUUGGUUGCUUUCCACAACCAAUCAGAUGCUUGCAUAGGGUGUAACCUUUGUAACUUCACUUCAGCCUGAUUGGUUGCUUCCCUCCGACUGAUUACCGGCCACUACUUCAUUUACAUAGGGUGUACACCAAGUAACCAGUGGGAAAACUCUAAUUCUGUACUGGGGCUCUUGGAUCCUAUUCUUGGACCCGCUCCCACCCUGUGGAGUGUGCUUUUGUUUUUUGUUGCUUCAAUUUUUUUUUUUUUUUUUUUUUUUUUUGAGAGGGAGUCUCACUCUGUCGCCCAGGUUGGAGUGCAGUGGCAUGAUCUCAGCUCAGUGCAAGCUCUGCCUCCCGGAUUCACGUCAUUCUUCUGCCUCAGCCUCCUGAGUAGCUGGGACGACAGGGGCCCGCCACCAGGCCCGGCUAAUUUUUUUUUUUUUUUUCGUAUUUUUAGUAGAGACAGGGUUUCAUCGUGUUAACCAGGAUGGUCUUGAUCUUCUGACCUCAUGAUCCACCAGCCUCGGCCUCCCAAAAUGCUAGGAUUACAGGUGUGAGCCACUGCGCCCGGCCUUGUUGCUUCAUUCUUUCCUUGCUUUGUGUGUUUUAUCAAGUUAUUUGCUUAAGAAGCCAAGAACCUGGACACCCUCCAACAGUAACAAUAGAAUAUUCCAACUACAAAUACUGCCUCCUGACUUUUUGUUAACUGCGAAGGGGAAAAGCUGUAUUAGACAAGGGAGAACUCACCUGACAUGUUUCUCCUUAUGUGAUGCUGUAUGAAAAGUUUUUUGCAAUAUAUUUUUGCAAAAAACAUGUUUAAUCUGAGUCUGAGCAAGGCCUUUGCUAUAAUUCCCACCUUACAGGAAAUAAAGAUGAUAGAGGAACAGAUAAAUGACAUCACAAGGAAACCAUUAGGCAUAGCGGAAUAUGGAACUUGCUAGAGGUCUUCAAAAAGUCAGUGUUCAUAGAGAAUAAAAAAAGUAGAGGCACUAUCGUAGAUUGAAAGAGACAUGACAAAUGCAACUAAUGGGAUUGGGCAUCAGUGCAAAAUAAGCAGCUAUAAAAGACAUUUGGGACACGAUUAGAGAAAUUCAAAUAAGACUGGUAUUAGCUGAUAUAAUAGAAUUUUCAUUAAUUUUUCUGGGGGUAAAAGUGAUACUGUGGUUAUAAAGAAAGUAGUCCUUAUUUUUAAAAGACACAUACUAAAAUAUCUGGGGUUGAAGUAUCAUGGUAUCUACCACACAUUUUGGAAAAAAUAUCUGUGAAGUAAAAAUAUUAACAUUUGUUGAUGCUAAGUUGUGUGCAGAUAAAUAUUUUAUUCUGGUCUUUUAAUUUUUCUAUAUAUUUGAAAUUUUUCUUAAUAAAAAUUGAGCAAAAUAUACUUAUAAAAAUCCAUGCUUAAAAAGUAAUUAUAGGAAAAUUAGAAAAAUUUAGAACUUGAUGUCUCAAAAAUAUCCAAAUUAUAAGAUGGAAAGAAAGGAGUAGGUAGAAGGAGAUUAAUAAUUUUAGUGGACAUGUAGAAAUGAAGAAAAAUGGAAAUAAAUGUUCAAAGUAUCCAACCAAAACAGAACAAAAAAAUAGAAUAAAAGAAAUGAAAUCAAAGUCUAAUAAAAGAGAACACAAAUCAAUACAGGAUCAAUAAAACAAAGUCUGGUUAUAUGAAUGAAAAACAGUGGAGACAUAAAUCAAUAAGCUUAGGGAUAAUAAAGACUAUAUAACUAAGGAUAAAAUAGAUUUUAAAAAUAGGACUACUUUACUAUGAGCAAUUUUAUCUGUUUUCAAACUUAUUGACAUAAAGUGAUCAAUGUCCUAAAAUAAACUUUUAAUAAAGUUCAAUAAUCCACGGAAUCUUGAACAAUCAAAUAGAUUGAAUCAGUAGUUGAAAAAAAAUUUACUGCUGCAUAAACAUAGGUCCAAAAUUUUAAACUUAUUCCUUGAGAUAAAAUUUACCCAAGUUGAAUUUGUUUUUAGCAUAUGCACCGUUAUGCAACCAUCACCAUCCCCUUAGAACAAUUUAUUUACCCCCAAAAAGUACCUAUUAACAUUCACUCCUCAUUCUCCAGCCAGAAGCAACCAACAAUCUGCUUUCUAUCCCUGCAGAAUUGCCUCUUCUAGACACUUAGUAUAAAUGGAAUCAUACAAUGUUUAGCCCUUUCUCUGGCUUCUUUCCCUUAGCAUAAUGUUUUCAAGUUUUGUCCAUGUUGUAGCACGUAUUGGUGCUUCAUUCCGUAUUUCCAAAUAAUAUUCCAUUGUCUUCAUGUACCAUAUUUUAUUUAUCCACUCAUCAGUUAAUGGGCAUUUGGGUUGUUUCUGUUCUUUAGCUAUUAUAAAUAAUGCUUUUGUAAACAUUCAUGUACAAGUUUUUGUGUGGGCAUAUGUAUUCAUUUCUUCUAGGUAUAUACCUAAGCUGUGGAAUUGCUGAGUCCUAUAGUAAGUGUUUAACAUUUUGAGGAACUGCCAAGCUAGUUUCCAAAGCAGCUGCACCAUUUUACAUUCCCACCAGCAAUGUCUGAGCGUUCUAAUGUCUCCACAGCCUCUCCAACACUAUUAUCCUUUGUUUAUAGUCAUGCUAGAGAAUGUAAAGUGAUGUCUCAUGAAUUUUAUUCGCAUUUUCCUGAUGGCUAAUGACGUUCAGUAUCUUUUCAUGUGCUUAUUGGUCAUUUGUAUGUGUCUUCUUUGGAGAAAUUUCUUUUCAACUCCUUUGUCCAUUUUC